GGGGGCGUACUGGUCUCGACGGGGGAGACAUUGGCAGGAGCUGCCAGGCGAGAUCCCACCUGCUCGUUAAACGGUGGACCCUAAUAAGUGCCAAAGAAGAACUUGCCCUGGCUGCCUAAAGCAUAGCAGCCACAUCCACCUCAGUCCCCGCCCGCGGAGCUGGGAGUGGGUGUAAUCCGUAGCGGGCUAUCCCUAAGGCCUUCGCCUGCGGGCCCAGGGAGAAAUUAAAAGCAGGCUGGCCCCGGAGGCACCUAGUUUCCGGGGGGCGCCGGGGCGAGAUACAAAGCGGAAACUAUCCUGGUAGACGCUCCUGUGGGUGUUCCUUCGGACGGGGGUUCGAUUCCCCCCGCCUCCACCA
rnacentral:tmRNA from 1 species